ACAGGCCUAUUCUGGACAACCUCACUGAUGCCUCACAAGUCACAAUAACCUCAUAACUCGAGUUGAACUCGAUUUUGUGACUUUUUCGUAUUCUGGCGAAAACCUCACAGUCACAAGAACCUCAUAAGGUGAGGUGAGUUUUGUUUUGUGAGGUUUUUCGUAUUCUGGCGUACCCUCACAAGUUGUGAGCCUCAUAAAAAUUGUUAAAAUUGUGAUCUCCUCCAGAGCAGGUCACAACUCACAAAUUACUAGAGUUUUGAUAUUUUUUAUUUCCAUAAAUAUUUUGGGAACAAUUUUAAGAAAAAAAAUAAAAAUCAAUAACCAAUUCCAAGAAGACACCCCAAAGCAAUGUAUCCCAAAACGACUUCCAUUGGAUGUUGGUUGCAUCUGGAGAUAGUUUCUCAAAGUCGUCGAAUUAUAUUUGCGACAUGGCUUUUGCAUCGGCGUUACUUUGGACGACGAUCAAAGCAUAAUGACUUUAUGCUUGAAACCGAAAGAGAGCUGGAGUAGCUCAAGGGGUGGCCAUAUCAUUCAUUACCUCACCAUAUCAUUCAUUACAAAACCAAGUUCAAGGAGGCACAGCAAACGAGCUAUGUUCGAACCAUAGGAUUUCUUUGCAUACAAAGAAUCAAAGAUGAACUCAAAAGCGCAAAUUUUUGCUUCGAUCCAGUUAAAUACCUAACCAUAACAAAGCAUAACAACAAACGUAUCAGCACCUAAUAUGUAUCAAUAAAAAUAACCAGAGUCUAACGAAGUCCGUAAACCAUGUUUCUAGCUACAUUGGAAAUAUUUAAAUACCAUAGUAUCACACAAUAAAAUCAGCCUCCAGUUGAGAACAAGAAAAAAAUAAUUUCAGUUCACGAUAAGCCUGGCUCUGUAAAAAAGAAAGCCGCAGUCAGUUCAAACAACAACGGGCAAAUCGCAAUCAUCAGCGAAUCAAGCAAAUUGUGUUCCAUCAGAAGCAGCAAUAACGAAUUCAACCCCAGCUGGAACAACAUCGACAAAAGCAACAAGAUGCCAAUGCCAAAGCAUAAACGAAUGCACCCAAUGCAAAAAAUAUCACAAGUUCCAGAAGUCGUUGAGAGUUCACUUGUUUUACCUAGCACUAUUUUAAAAAAUAAAAUUUAAUUGAUAUUUGAUAUAAAAAGAUCUUUACAGGAAUAAAUUUAACAAACUAAAAGAA